rnacentral:ncRNA from 1 species
CCAGCUGAGUUGGCGAUGUUCACUCGCGCGAGUGAACAUCGCCAACUCAGCUGGAUUCGGGGGGCAUUGCCUGCCCUACGCUCAGCGCAACACAACCGCAGACAUGCGACGGCCCUCGCCGGGACGGCAAUCCCAGUGCGAGGGCCUGACCACCGAGGAAGAGAGAGCUUCCCG